rnacentral:rRNA from 1 species
CCGUCAGGGUUCGGGGAACCCCGGGAACUGGGGAAAUACCGGAUAAAUCACAAAUACUGGAAGGUUUUGUGGUUGAAACUUCCGGGGCCUUUGGAUGGGUCUGCGGCUGAUUAGGUUGUUGCCGGUGUAACGUACCGUCAAGCCUGUAAUCAGUACGGGUUGUGGGAGCAAGAGCCCGGAGAUGGAUUCUGAGACACGAAUCCAGGCCCUACGGGGCGCAGCAGGCGCGAAAACUCUACAAUGCAGGCAACUGCGAUAGGGGAACAUCGAGUGAUACUCAUCUUGGGUGUCUGUCCUCCCGUCUAAAAAACGGGAGUUAGCAAGGGCCGGGCAAGACCGGUGCCAGCCGCCGCGGUAAUACCGGCGGCUCGAGUGGUGGCCGAUAUUAUUGAGUCUAAAGGGUCCGUAGCCGGCUUUGCAAGUCUUUUGGGAAAUCCAGCGGCUUAACCGUUGGUCGUCCGGGAGAUACUACAUUGCUUGGGACUGGGAGAGGUAGGAGGUACUCAGGGGGUAGGAGUGAAAUCCUGUAAUCCUUUGGGGACCACCGGUGGCGAAGGCGUCCUACCAGAACAGGUCCGACGGUGAGGGACGAAAGCUAGGGGCACGAACCGGAUUAGAUACCCGGGUAGUCCUAGCCGUAAACGAUGCUCGCUAGGUGUCACAACAAUCGUGAAUUGUUGUGGUGCCGUAGGGAAGCCGUGAAGCGAGCCACUUGGGAAGUACGACCGCAAGGUUGAAACUUAAAGGAAUUGGCGGGGGAGCAC